rnacentral:rRNA from 1 species
AUUGAACGCUGGCGGCAGGCCUAACACAUGCCAGUCGAGCGGAUGAAGGGAGCUUGCUCCUGGAUUCAGCGGCGGACGGGUGAGUAAUGCUUAGGAAUCUGCCUGGUAGUGGGGGAUAACGUCCGGAAACGGGCGCUAAUACCGCAUACGUCCUGAGGGAGAAAGUGGGGGAUCUUCGGACCUCACGCUAUCAGAUGAGCCUAGGUCGGAUUAGCUAGUUGGUGGGGUAAAGGCCUACCAAGGCGACGAUCCGUAACUGGUCUGAGAGGAUGAUCAGUCACACUGGAACUGAGACACGGUCCAGACUCCUACGGGAGGCAGCAGUGGGGAAUAUUGGACAAUGGGCGAAAGCCUGAUCCAGCCAUGCCGCGUGUGUGAAGAAGGUCUUCGGAUUGUAAAGCACUUUAAGUUGGGAGGAAGGGCAGUAAGUUAAUACCUUGCUGUUUUGACGUUACCAACAGAAUAAGCACCGGCUAACUUCGUG